UACGAGUGCGUCGAGCGUUAUCCGGAAUCAUUGGGCGUAAAGGGUGUGUAGGUGGCGUUGUUAGUCUUGUGUCAAAUUCCUCGGCUCAACCGGGGGCUCGCACUAGAAACGGCAAUGCUUGAAGGUGGUAGGGGUCUCUGGAAUUCUAGGUGUAGCGGUGAAAUGCGUUGAUAUCUAGGAGAACACCAAAAGCGAAGGCAGGAGACUGGACCAUUCUUGACACUGAAACACGAAAGCGUGGGUAGCGAAUGGG
rnacentral:rRNA from 1 species